rnacentral:rRNA from 1 species
UACAGAGGUCCCGAGCGUUUGUUCGGAUUCACUGGGCGUAAAGGGUGCGUAGGUGGUCGGGUAAGUCUGAUGUGAAAUCUCUGGGCUCAACCCAGAAACUGCAUUGGAUACUAUCCGGCUAGAGGAGUGGAGGGGGGACUGGAAUACUUGGUGUAGCAGUGAAAUGCGUAGAUAUCAAGUGGAACACCAGUGGCGAAGGCGAGUCCCUGGACACUUCCUGACACUGAGGCACGAAAGCUAGGGGAGCAAGCAGG